ACGAACGCUGGCGGCGUGCUUAACACAUGCAAGUCGAACGGAAAGGCCCUGCUUUUGUGGGGUGCUCGAGUGGCGAACGGGUGAGUAACACGUGAGUAACCUGCCCUUGACUUUGGGAUAACUUCAGGAAACUGGGGCUAAUACCGGAUAGGAGCUCCUGCUGCAUGGUGGGGGUUGGAAAGUUUCGGCGGUUGGGGAUGGACUCGCGGCUUAUCAGCUUGUUGGUGGGGUAGUGGCUUACCAAGGCUUUGACGGGUAGCCGGCCUGAGAGGGUGACCGGCCACAUUGGGACUGAGAUACGGCCCAGACUCCUACGGGAGGCAGCAGUGGGGAAUAUUGCACAAUGGGCGGAAGCCUGAUGCAGCAACGCCGCGUGCGGGAUGACGGCCUUCGGGUUGUAAACCGCUUUCGCCUGUGACUAAGCGUGAGUGACGGUAAUGGGUAAAGAAGCACCGGCUAACUACGUG
rnacentral:rRNA from 1 species